UUGCGUCUGAGGCUUGGGGG
rnacentral:miRNA from 1 species